CUUCUUAAGUCCAGGGAAGGGAGGGGACGGCGGGGCCCCAGUGUCCCUCCCCGCUGCCUCCCCCCACCCCGUUCCCCUUCUGGACGGGCGCCGUGGCUCCGGCACCCACUGCUGGGGAACCUGCGGAGUGGGCGGGGAGCGCGACUGAAAGUUCCAAGUUCACAGAAGUCCCGCGCGCGGCCCACCGCGUCUCGGGAUUUCGGGGGGGUGUGUGGGGGGCCAGGUAAGCGGUUCGCGCACGUCAGGACCAGCCCCGCACCCUCUGGCAGCCUGCGCGGCGCGCUGCCCCGCCCUCGGUCACACGAACGCGCCUUCUCACCCGCGCGCACACCCGCAGCCGAGCACACGCGUCCGCGUGCACGGCCGCUCGUGUCCUCCAUCCUCGAGCGACCACCAGGAUGUGCCUCGGGCCUCGCCGCCGCCGCCGCUGCCGCUGUGCCCGCGACAGUGCCCCUAGCCCCAGUAUGUCUCUUUUCAUCUCCUAAUUUUAAUAUUUUUGUCCUCGCAAGUGGCCCUGUGUGGUGCGAAGCUUGGACACGAUAGUCUCCCCACACUUCCCUGGUCGUCGCUUGUGGCGGCUGCGGCCGGAGGUGGAGGGCAGGUGAUGACCAGCUAGUCCCCCACGCCAGGCUGCCGCACGCUCCCCGCAGGGUUAGAAGCUGCUCCCUGGCUGGUGGGAUCCCCUUCUCUUCCAAAGACUCAAGCCUGGCACCGCUCCCCUGCUCUCCGCCGGCUGCUUUUCGGUUCUAGGCUCUGGUUCUCAGCCCGAGUUUUGCUGCCCUCCUCUAGUUGUGUGAAUUCCACGAAGCAACAGCUUUGGGCUCCAGGCAGAGCGCAGGAGAAUCAUGCAGAGGAAGGAAGCACACAGGUUGGAGUCGCCUCCAAACAGCCCCAAGAGCCACUUAAAAAAAUUCUUUAAGAUGAACUAAAAACUCUGAAAGGGAAACCGGUCUGCCAGUUGAGAAGGAGAUUUUACUGGGUUGGAACCUGGAGAUGUGGAAACAGUUCUGACCCCAUAGCACCUGACUCUGCUCCCCUCUUUAGAGCUGGCACAGUGAAGUCUGCUCCACCUAAACAAAGAUGCUGUGCAGGUGAGCUCAAGUUUGCUGAAGAGU
ensembl:lncRNA